rnacentral:rRNA from 1 species
UACGGAGGGUGCAAGCGUUAUCCGGAUUCACUGGGUUUAAAGGGUGCGUAGGUGGGUUGGUAAGUCAGUGGUGAAAUCUCCAGGCUUAACUUGGAAACUGCCAUUGAUACUAUCAAUCUUGAAUACCGUGGAGGUCAGCGGAAUAUGUCAUGUAGCGGUGAAAUGCUUAGAUAUGACAUAGAACACCCAUUGCGAAGGCAGCUCACUACGGGAUCAUUGACACUGAGGCACGAAAGCGUGGGGAUCAAACAGG